rnacentral:rRNA from 1 species
UACCAGCCCCUGAGUGGUAAGGACGAUUAUUUGGCUUAAAGCGUCCGUAGCCGGCUUGGUGAGUCUCUUGUUAAAUCCAAUGAUUCAAUCAUUGAACUGCAAGAGAUACUACUAUGCUAGAGGACGGGAGAGGUCGACGGUAGUCCAAGGGUAGGGGUGAAAUCCUAUAAUCCUUGGAGGACCACCAGUGGCGAAGGCGGUCGACUAGAACGUGCCUGACGGUGAGGGACGAAAGCUGGGGGAGCGAACCGGAUUAGAUACCCGGGUAGUCCCAGCUGUAAACGAUGCGGGCUAGGUGUAGGGGCAGCUACGAGCUGCUCCUGUGCCGCAGAGAAAUUGUAAGCCCGCCGCCUGGGGAUACGAUCGCAAGAUUGAAACUUAAGGAAUUGGCGGGGGGCACCACGAAGGGUGAAGGCUGCGGUUU